GAUGAGCUAAUUUGGCUGUCAUUGAAAAGUGAUCCUGAGACAAGGACUUGGAUGCAGGUCAGUAUUUUGGAAAAUAAUCUCAAGAUCUGAAGGGGAGGAGCAGGGAAUAUAAGACAAGGAUGAAGAGAGAGACAAAGAAGGGUAGCUGUGUGGGCAACCAGAGCUCAGUCUCCUUGGGAGACUUCAGUGUUAAGGGAAUUAUGACCCACUAACCAAUCUUCUUUUGAAGGAGCAAAAGCUUCAAGAGUGCCAGGCAAGCUCAUUCCAAUUAAUCACAGUGUAAUGAGUAUCCUAUCAGCCAUAGGUUAAUCACUGUAGUUAAAAGUUGCUCAGUGCAUCCUGUAACAGCCAUUUAAGAUAAAGUGCAUCUUGGUUUGUUUUUUUUUUUCCCCCUCUUGAGAAGAGAUGGAGUAGGUCUGUAUUUACUUAUCUGUUUCUGUUCUCUAACUGCCGCCUUAACUUUCCAUUUGCAUUCAGGAAUAACAAGAUUCCUCUUGUGUGAAACAUCACUGGAAAGGAAAUAACCCCAUAUAUCAGCUUAAUCUCUACAUACAAAUGAUGCAGUGUUUCGCAAAAUGGCAGAUCUGUAACCUGUUUAGAGUUGAAAGUUACAAGUGCUGUUAUUGACAGGCAAAGGGGAUACUGCCUAGAAUUCCAGAAGAACCUGCUACAGAACCAAUUCAGGAAAGAGUAUCAAAAAUAGCCCUGGGGAAAACAUUCACAUGGAAUGGACAAGAAGAUGCAUUUAUAAACCACAGUGACUCCACCUCACUAUUAUAACAUAGUGAGAAGAGCUCUGGGCCAUGUGAGUAUGGAAAGAACAUCAUUACAUGGAUCCAUUAUAUCUGUAAAAACAUGCUGAUUGGGCAGGAUGCGUACGAGUUUGCUAAUACACUGAAGGCUUUGAUAAGAACCAUGCUUCAUAGAAAGCAAGAGAUGAACCCUUACAAGAUUCAGGAAUCUAAUUUUAAUGGUUUCUAGAGAUCUAGUGGCCAGGAAUGUGCCU